CCUACGGGUGGCAGCAGUGAGGAAUAUUGGUCAAUGGACGAGAGUCUGAACCAGCCAAGUAGCGUGAAGGAUGACUGCCCUAUGGGUUGUAAACUUCUUUUAUAUGGGAAUAAAAUGUUCCACGUGUGGGAUUUUGUAUGUACCAUAUGAAUAAGGAUCGGCUAACUCCGUGCCAGCAGCCGCGGUAAUACGGAGGAUCCGAGCGUUAUCCGGAUUUAUUGGGUUUAAAGGGUGCGUAGGCGGACUGGAAAGUCAGCGGUAAAAUCGAGAGGCUCAACCUCUUUCCGCCGUUGAAACUGUCGGUCUUGAGUGGGCGAGAAGUAUGCGGAAUGCGUGGUGUAGCGGUGAAAUGCAUAGAUAUCACGCAGAACUCCGAUUGCGAAGGCAGCAUACCGGCGCCCGACUGACGCUGAGGCACGAAAGCGUGGGUAUCGAACAGGAUUAGAUACCCGAGUAGUC
rnacentral:rRNA from 1 species